rnacentral:rRNA from 1 species
GGGACCCGCACAAGCGCUGGAUGAUGUGGAUUAAUUCGAUGCAACGCGAAGAACCUUACCUGGUCUUGACAUGUCAGGAAUCCUGCAGAGAUGCGGGAGUGCCUUCGGGAACCUGAACACAGGUGCUGCAUGGCUGUCGUCAGCUCGUGUCGUGAGAUGUUGGGUUAAGUCCCGCAACGAGCGCAACCCUUGUCACUAGUUGCUACGAAAGGGCACUCUAGUGAGACUGCCGGUGACAAACCGGAGGAAGGUGGGGAUGACGUCAAGUCCUCAUGGCCCUUAUGACCAGGGCCUCACACGUCAUACAAUGGUCGGUACAGAGGGUAGCCAACCCGCGAGGGGGAGCCAAUCCCAGAAAGCCGAUCGUAGUCCGGAUUGCAGUCUGCAACUCGACUGCAUGAAGUCGGAAUCGCUAGUAAUCGCAGGUCAGCAUACUGCGGUGAAUACGUUCCCGGGUCUUGUACACACCGCCCGUCACACCAUGGGAGUGGGUUGCUCCAGAAGUAGUUAGCCUAACCGCAAGGAGGGCGAUUACCACGGAGUGGUUCAUGACUGGGGUGAAGUCGU